rnacentral:rRNA from 1 species
UCGAACGGUAGCAGGAAAGUACUUGUACUUUUGCUGACGAGUGGCGGACGGGUGAGUAAUGCUUGGGAAUCUGGCUUAUGGAGGGGGAUAACUACUGGAAACGGUAGCUAAUACCGCGUAAUAUCGGAAGAUUAAAGGGUGGGACCAUUUGGCCACCUGCCAUAAGAUGAGCCCAAGUGGGAUUAGGUAGUUGGUGGGGUAAGGGCCUACCAAGCCUUCGAUCUCUAGCUGGUCUGAGAGGAUGACCAGCCACACUGGAACUGAGACACGGUCCAGACUCCUACGGGAGGCAGCAGUGGGGAAUAUUGCACAAUGGGGGGAACCCUGAUGCAGCCAUGCCGCGUGAAUGAAGAAGGCCUUCGGGUUGUAAAGUUCUUUCGGUGAUGAGGAAGGUGUUUUGUUUAAUAGACAAAGCAAUUGACGUUAGUCACAGAA